rnacentral:rRNA from 1 species
UACAGAGGUCUCAAGCGUUGUUCGGAUUCAUUGGGCGUAAAGGGUGCGUAGGCGGCGCGGUAAGUCGGGUGUGAAAUCUCGGAGCUUAACUCCGAAACUGCAUUCGAUACUGCCGUGCUUGAGGACUGGAGAGGAGACUGGAAUUUACGGUGUAGCGGUGAAAUGCGUAGAUAUCGUAAGGAAGACCAGUGGCGGAAGGCGGGUCUCUGGACAGUUCCUGACGCUGAGGCACGAAGGUCAGGGGAGCAAACGGGG